GACGAACGCUGGCGGCGUGCUUAACACAUGCAAGUCGAACGGUGAAGCGCCUUCCUUUUUGGUGGGUGUGGAUGAGUGGCGAACGGGUGAGUAACACGUGAGUAACCUGCCCCCUUCUUCUGGAUAACCGCAUGAAAGUGUGGCUAAUACGGGAUAUUCUGGGUCUGUCGCAUGAUGGGUCUGGGAAAGGUAUUGUUUCGGUGGGGGAUGGGCUCGCGGCCUAUCAGCUUGUUGGUGGGGUGGUGGCCUACCAAGGCGGUGGCGGGUAGCCGGCCUGAGAGGGUGGACGGCCACACGGGGACUGAGCCACGGCCGAGACUCCUACGGGAGGCAGCAGUGGGGAAUAGUGCACAAUGGGCGCAAGGCUGAUGCAGCGACGCCGCGUGAGGGAGGGAGGCCUUCGGGUUGUGAACCUCUUUCGCCAGUGAAGCAGGCCUGCCUCGUUUGUGGGUGGGUUGACGGUAGCUGGAGAAGAAGCGCCGGCUAACUACGUG
rnacentral:rRNA from 1 species